rnacentral:tRNA from 1 species
AGGAGAAUGGCUCAAUGGGAGAGCGGUGGCGCCAUGUGCAAUACAGGUUAUGGGUUCGAAUCCCGUUUCUUCCA